rnacentral:rRNA from 1 species
UACGUAGGGUGCAAGCGUUAAUCGGAAUACUGGGCGUAAAGCGUGCGCAGGCGGUGAUGUAAGACAGAUGUGAAAUCCCCGGGCUCAACCUGGGAACUGCAUUUGUGACUGCAUCGCUGGAGUGCGGCAGAGGGGGAUGGAAUUGCCGCUGUGUAGCGUGAAUGCGUAGAAGAUGUGGAGGAACACCAGUGGUCGGAAGGCG